GGCUUGGUAGCUCAUUGGUAGAGCGCCGUGUCACUGACACGGAAGUCCUGAGUUCGAGUCCUAGGCAAGUCC
rnacentral:tRNA from 1 species